CCACGGCUGAAGUUGGCCUGGGCCCUUCUGUCUUCUAACAUUAUUAUUAGGCAUCUAAUCCCAAUAAUGGCCUGAGAUUGAGUCUUGUAAAGCAGUAUUACUUAUUGGAGUGUCUUUAACUGCUAUUUUAUUUUCUAACCCAAAUUUACAUAUCAAACAACUGAAGGAUGACGUUAUUUUGCGUAACUCAUUUUAGAUUUAAAGCAAUUGAAGGUUAAGCUGAGUCUAUCAGAAUUGUCCAUUUUUGCUACUAUAUGUCAGACCUGUUUCAGCUUGAUAGACGUUUUCUUUUACUAUUACUAUUAAGGAUCUCUACAUGUGUCACAAUCUGUUUCUCUUCUUAUGUGCUGCACCUCUGUAUUGUUCCACUCACCCCGCCUCCACCUCACCAGCCAGUUACUCCCACCUCAUCAGCUCACCUGGGCUCCAGCUGCAUCUCAUCUUCAAUCAAGCCAGUAUUCUUUUUUUCUUCUUCUGGGAACUCCUUCUCCAAACAUUAAAGAGACAUGGAUAAAGGAUACAGCUGAGGAGAUUUCAAAUGAGUUAUCGUCGGAAGAGUUAGAUAGGAUCAAAGGAAUGCUAGAUUUAAACUUUUUCAGUUUUAAAAUGAUAUAGCUUCACUUUUCCAAGACAAACUAAACAGAAUCUUUUCUUAUUUCUCUGUUACCUGUGAUAAGUGUGAGUCAGGUGACUGGACUUUAGGUCAUCUUUUCUGGUCUUGGCAUAAACUCAAGAGUGUCCGGAAUGAUAUUUUUUUAUUUGUACAUAUACAGUAAACAGCUAAUCUAUUGUGAUAUUACACUGUAGGCUAUCGCAAUCAUCAUCUAAGUGACAUGCAUGUAAAAAGAAAUCUCUGCAAACUGGCUAUUUGUUUUACAUUGUCAAGUCUAGUUGUUUUUUAUCUUUUGUGUUAUAAAAAAAGGAAAAUAAUACUUAAACAUGUAUUUAAAGAGAACUGUUCUCCAUUGCAAUAAAUACUCUGAACACUUCCACUAACCAUGACAGAUGUUCUGCAUAUUUAGCAAUUUUGUAAAUAUUGUCUGUGAAUUUCGUCUUGUGGUAAUAUAUGAAAAUGUCUGUUGUGUUAGUCAUGUGUCUAAUCUGAUGUUGAUAUUUCUCUAAAUGUGAUGUUACUGACAUUGCUCUAAUGAGUUUACCCAACGUGCUGUACGGAAAGCAAAUUGCACAAACCUUGUGUGGUCAUUAAUAAUAAAUGUUUGAAUGAAUGAUUGAAAAUGA